UUCAUUUUUCAGUCUGAGCCUUUUUUCAGUGCUGUAAGAAAGGACGGAGGCUGUUAUCUAUGGCAGAUCUAUCCAAUAAAGGAGAGAAAGGACCGCAUACGCCUGGUUCUCAUCAUAUGCAAUAAAGAGUUUGACCAUCUGCCUCCAAGAAAUGGGGCUGACUUUGCCAUCAUGGAGAUGAAGAAGCUGCUUGAGGAUCUGGGUUACAGUGUGGAUGUAGAAGAGAAUCUGACAGCCAGGAUAACGUGUCCAGGAGAGACAGCACAAGGGGCUCCAUCUUCAUCACACAACUCAUCGCAUGCUUCCAGAGAUAUUCCUGGCGCUGCCACCUAGAGGAAGUAUUUUGGAAGGUUCAGCAAGCAUUUGAAAGUCCGGAGGCAACAGUCCAAAUGCCCACCAUAGAACGAGUGUCCAUGACAAGAUAUUUCUACCUCUUUCCUGGCAAUUGAAAAUGGUUAAGCAUUGAGAGUUGUUGGUGGUGUAUGAAAUAAAUGAAAGUGUGAUAUUGGAGGAAACCACAAGCAGCCCAGCCCUCCUUUAUCAACUUCAAGAAACACCUUUACUAGUACAGAUUGAAUGCUUAACAUUUUGUAUUUCAAUAAAGGUGAAGACAAAUGAA
ensembl:lncRNA CASP4LP caspase 4 like, pseudogene